CGCAUCUGUGCAUGCAGCAUAUCAAUAAGCGGAGGAAAAGAAACUAACAAGGAUUCCCCUAGUAACGGCGAGUGAAGCGGGAAGAGCUCAAAUUUGAAAUCUUAAAGGGUUUCCCUUUACGAAUUGUAGUUUAAAGAAGUGUUUUCUGUUGAGGUUUUGGUAAAAGUUCUUUGGAAUAGGACAUCAUAGAGGGUGAGAAUCCCGUAUUUGACCUUUACUUUCAACUUUGUGAUACACUUUCAAAGAGUCGGAUUGUUUGGGAAUGCAGUCCAAAAUGGGUGGUAAAUUUCAUCUAAAGCUAAAUAUUGGCGAGAGACCGAUAGCGAACAAGUACCGUGAGGGAAAGAUGAAAGGAACUUUGAAAAGAGAGUUAAACAGUACGUGAAAUUGUCAAAAGGGAAGCGUUUGACACCAGUGUUGUUUUUCUGAAAAUCAAUUAAAGAACUGUUUAUGCUAAGCUGUUUAGACUUUAUCAGCUAAUCUGUUUAGUUUUGAGCUUUUCUUUAAUGCACUUUUCAGUUAACAAGUCAACAUCAAUUUCUUUUGCUGUAAAAAAGCUUGAGGAAAGGUGGCUUGAGAUUCGUCUUAAGUGUUUAUAGCCUCUUGCCUAUGCAGUCGGAGAGAUUGAGGUCUGCAGCGUAGAUCCUUCGGGGCUAAAUGCAUUUGUGCUAAGUUAUAGCAUUUUCAUAGACAACUUGUUGACUAUGAUUUGUCUUGUAGCUUACUCGCUUAUGUUAUUUUACCUACGCUUAGGAUGUUGACAGCAGUAUAGACUGU
rnacentral:rRNA from 1 species